rnacentral:miRNA from 15 species
AGUUGUACCAGAUGCUCGAUUU